AGUUUGAUCAUGGCUCAGGAUGAACGCUGGCGGCGUGCUUAACACAUGCAAGUCGAACGGACAUGUCUUUCGGGAUAUGUUAGUGGCAGACGGGUGCGUAACACGUGGGUGACCUGCCCUGGAGUGGGGAAUAACUAUACUAACGGAUAGCUAAUACCGCAUAUGCUCGGUGAUUCAUUUUGCCGAGUAAAGUCGAAAGGCGCUUCAGGAUGGGCCUGCGGCGGAUUAGGUAGUUGGUGGGGUAACGGCCUACCAAGCCGAUGAUCCGUAGGGGGCGUGAGAGCGUGGCCCCCCACACUGGCACUGAGAUACGGGCCAGACUCCUACGGGAGGCAGCAGUGAGGAAUAUUGCGCAAUGGGCGAAAGCCUGACGCAGCAACGCCGCGUGAGGGACGAAGGCCUUCGGGUCGUAAACCUCUUUUCUGGGGAAAGAGCAAGGACGGUACCUCAGGAAUAAGUCUCGGCUAACUACGUGCCAGCAGCCGCGGUAAAACGUAGGAGGCGAGCGUUAUCCGGAUUUACUGGGCGUAAAGCGUACGCAGGCGGCUUCGUUAGUCGGGUGUGAAAGCUCCUAGCUUAACUGGGAGAGGCCACUCGAUGCUGCGAGGCUUGAGGUUGGGAGAGGGGUGUGGAAUUCCCGGUGUAGUGGUGGAAUGCGUAGAUAUCGGGAGGAACACCUGUGGCGAAAGCGGCACCCUGGCCCACACCUGACGCUGAGGUACGAAAGCGUGGGGAGUAAACAGGAUUAGAUACCCUGGUAAUCCACGCUGUAAACGAUGUCAACUGGGUGUCGGUAGCUUUACGCUAUCGGUGCCGAAGCAAACGCGUUAAGUUGACCGCCUGGGGACUACGGCCGCAAGGCUAAAACUCAAAUGAAUUG
rnacentral:rRNA from 1 species